GUGAUUUGGGGUCAGACUGGUUUCCCUCGCUUUAUGCAGUAGAUGCAUUCCUGAAAAACUGUGCAUAACUCAAAUUCGCAUAAAGGCAACCCACUUUACAAGGAACAUGUAUUUCCUGCAUAGAUGUCUUUUUCUUGACCUCUCCUUCCUUCUGUGCAGUCUGAGAAGUGGCAAAAUUCCUACGGAAAUGGAGAAAGGGUUUAGAUAAAUGUUAAGUUACUGUGAAUUACAUAAGAAAAAUGUUUUUGUUU